CUAAGAGCCUAACACACAGCUGUCUGUGCAGGUCGCUACAAUAUAGACCUAAAUAGAUGUGUCUAGUCUAUGAGACAGUAAACUGUACUUGGAAAACACUUAUUUGUCACACUUAACAUAGUCAUACAUACCUUUUCUGCCAUAUUUGCAUUGACAUACUGUAGUGUGGUAGCAGACCUUUAUGCACCUUUGAACCUGGUUGACUCAGAUUCCUUGAUUUGAUAUGUCGGUUGCCAAGGAAAACUCAGCGGUGAGUUUGCCCCCAAAAAGUGACAAUAUAAUGUAAACUAGGUAACUAAAUGCGAAAUUACGAAUGUGAUGUUAAUUUUGAACGAGUUUCAAAUGUCAUUAUUUGGUAGAUUCAUUGGUUUCUGUUAUUGUAUGACUGGUUGUUGGUUAGCUUAGCUGGCUAGCUAAUGAAUCUGUUUCAUGUGUGUCAACUACUAACGUUAGCGUCAAUGCUGCGUUUAGACAAGGCACGCAAAAACCGUCUUAGAGUCGGUAUAGCGGGACAAGAAAGCAAGAAAGAGGGUUACGACAAAAGGAAGUCAGCACGACGUUAUGCGUUGCUAUGGUGAUUUUAGUAAAUAAACCAUGCCAAUCAACAUCCGGUAGAAAAAAACGCUACGACAGACAGAAACAGUUGAAAUGUUUUAACUGUCUCUGGCGGUAAAUCCCGUCUACUGUGGCGGCUGACGGCAUAUACAAUCGUAUGUUCAUUGAAAACAAUGGCAUCCGGUUUGCAGUCUACCGACGACGUCUACCGCCUACCACAUAAACGCAGCAUUAGGCUUGCCAGUUUUUCUCCUUCAGUUGAUUAAUUAGCUACAGAUUACAGGCCGUUUAACCAGGGGAUGACGCUUAGGUUAUAUUGGGCAGACACACUUGAUGCUGAUGGGACUGGAUAGGAAUUAAAAACGUUCAACGUGGAGUCGCUAUGCCAUCAGAACAUGCAAGGCUUCUUCGGUGGCUUUUGCCCCCUAAAAAGAUUCCCCCCAUUGUGAAACCACUUCCUCCACCUAUAUUUUCAGUACAAUCAUAGACUCAUUGCCAUCAACAGAGAGAAAGGCUCUGAAGGACAGUGCCACAGAGGGGAUGGAGUCGAGUUGCCAUGUGCUUCCUCUUUGGGACUAUGACCCUGCAGCCUUCAGAGUGGCCCCCACUCCCCUGACCUCAGUCCCAAUGAUGCUGAUGCCUAAAAUAAUUGAGGGCUUCUCCUGUUAACCCCAAUGCACCCUCCCUAAAAUCCCCCUCCUCGACCGCCUCAAGACAGACCCCAGAUGCAUCCCUUCUCUCCCUACCUUUAGCUUCAAUGAUUUCCUGCGGGACCCUAAUGGCAGCAGUAGGCACCAGUUGCUGGAGGGCCUGAAGAAAGUGGCCCUGUCUCGCUGCAACUAGAGGAAGUUGGUUGGGUUCUUCCUAAUGUAACUGCACCAAGGGCAGCGGGCUGAAGUGUCCAAGCAGCUGAAGUCCACUGAGAAAGUGCUAGAGGCAAAGACCAGAAUCCCACAGAGGCAGAUCAUAUGUGAAACACACUGUAUAUAAUAUAUUAAAAGAUGACCUGCCAUUGUAGUAGGCUAGAGUCCAGAUUGUAUUAUUAAGUGAGUAUUGUAUGACAAGGAUGCUUGCUUUUGUAAGUUACAGUGGUGUACUGUUUCCUCAUGCGUAUUGUGUGUGUGUUAGUAUUUGUUGUGUUAUCUGAUUAAAACGGACAGCAUUGAUCCCUAUGGAGGUGCAGGCUCAGAUGAUGUGUCGGUUGAGCUGUCAGGGAGAUGAGACCUGCAGGUCUGAGAAGAGGUCUGUAGAGAUCUGGGUACCACCAGGGGAAAGACAAUAUGUUCAGAAGCAGGAAAACAUAUACCCCCAGGCAAGAACAUGUUUGCCUUCUCACUUACUAUACCAUAACCAACACUACAUAAACAGCCCUCUUAAAACACACCUUUUUAUUGGUGCCUUUCCUUAUCGUGCUUUUUAGUCAUUCAGUUUUGAUUUAUCGUUUUGUUUUUUUCAUCUUAUGUUUGUUGUAUUGUAAAUAUUUCAGUUUUUAUUUUCCUGUGUAGCACAUUGCAUUGCAUUCCUUGUCUGAAAUGUGCUGUAUAAAUAAAGCUUGAUUUGAUGA